rnacentral:rRNA from 1 species
UGCCAGCAGCCGCGGUAACACGGGGGGCGCAAGCGUUAUUCGGAAUUAUUGGGCGUAAAGGGCGCGUAGGUGGCCUGGUCAGUCAGAUGUGAAAGCCCGCGGCUUAACCGCGGAACUGCAUUUGAAACUGCCAGGCUUGAGUGCGAGAGAGGGUAGUGGAAUUCCCAGUGUAGAGGUGAAAUUCGUAGAUAUUGGGAAGAACACCAGUGGCGAAGGCGGCUAACUGGCUCGGUACUGACGCUGAGAUGCGAAAGCGUGGGGAGCAAACAGGAUUAGAUA